rnacentral:lncRNA from 1 species
GCUCACACAUUUGGUAAAAAUCAAUGUCGAUUCAUUAUGGACAGAUUAUACAACUUUAGCAACACUGGAUUACCUGACCCUACACUCAACACUACUUACCUCCAAACUCUUCGUGGUCAAUGUCCUCGCAAUGGUAAUCAAAGCGUCUUAGUGGAUUUCGAUCUGCGUACGCCUUUGGUUUUCGACAACAAAUACUAUGUGAAUCUUAAAGAGCAAAAAGGUCUUAUCCAGAGCGACCAAGAGUUGUUCUCUAGCCCCAAUGCCACUGACACAAUCCCCUUGGUGAGAGCAUAUGCUGAUGGCACACAAACAUUCUUCAAUGCAUUCGUGGAGGCAAUGAAUAGGAUGGGAAAUAUUACACCAACUACAGGAACUCAAGGACAAAUCAGGUUGAAUUGUAGAGUGGUGAACUCCAACUCUCUACUCCAUGAUGUGGUGGAUAUCGUUGACUUUGUAAGUUCUAUGUGAGAAUAGUUGACUCAAUAUCUGGCGACCAGACUAUAUGUUAAGAUAAAUAAGCGGGAUCUCAAGUUGUUACUUGAGCAGGAGCAGAUUGUAUUGGUGUUUAUAGUAUCCAAGUAGUUCUCUGUUUUUUUUUUAUAUUGGCCUUUGAUAGCGUUUUGUUAAUCGGUCUAAGCUUCUAUGGUUUUGGACUGUUUUAUCCUAAUAAAUAUGACAAGAUAAAACGUUUAUGUUAUUUGAAAAUAUUUUGUCCUACGUUUCCAUUUCUCUAGUGAUGUAUAUAAAAGAAGAAUGUGUGAUCUAGCAAAAUUGAAAUAUGAAUAUGGUUCAAGAUUGUCGUGAUACAUAGUCAGAUAUAUAAAGAAUAAAACGUAUCUAACUUUGUGGCCUUGCAUUGAUUUAUGAUACGUAAAAAAAGGACGCGACAAAUAUGAGCCUGGCGAGUCUCUCCGAACACACAAUAAUUCUGGUGGAACGAGAAGCGAUUCAUAGGGUUAUCAAGAGGUCUAAUUUCAAGCUGAGAGGCCUUUAUGAAGAUUAAAUUAAGAUCAGUUGAGAAACUCAAGCAUUGGAGGGGAGAGGAUGCGGCUAGAAACUUAGAUAUGGAAGCUUCAUAAAUACUUAACUGAUGAGAAAGAUGAAUCGCGUAAGUUACAAAUGGAGCUUGCUGGAAUUUAGAAGAGUCUAUGUGUGUUCAAAAAUGAUAAUCACAAAGUUUAUUAUGUAUGUAGCAAAGCUUAAAAAGAAACUUGUAGCUGAAAAGAAAAAAACCUAAGCUGUUCAAAGAAUGAACUUUUGGAGAACUUGAAUAAAACAAGGAUUCUCAAUGGUGUAACAAAUAAUCCAUAUAAAUUUUUUGAGCAUAUAGAGGCGAGAGAAGAAGAGUAUUGGUACGAGUUAUAACAAAGAAGCUAAUUAAGUACAUCUAGAUCAAAUAUUGUAUUUGGUAGAAAUGCAUAACAUAAAAAAAAAAACUCACGACUAACAUGUCAAAAGGAACAUGCGCACAAUUUUAAUAGGGAAAAGAAGAAUUUGGUUCUGGAUACUACGGAAGUUCAUCAAAAAUCAUUUUGUAGGUGAAACAAGUGAACUUUAUAUGAAUUUAUUUAUAGAAAAGAAAACGUAAUUGAAACCCAUUAACCUAUGAUACAAUUGUGUCCAAUAAUAAUUUGAAAUUAAAAUCCUAAUUAAAUAGAAACUAAAACAGACAAAUACGUUACUUAGCUUGAACCAAUUAAACAGAUGUCUAGACAAGUACGUUACUUGACCCAUUUAUUCCCAAGUUUGAAUCACCAUUCAAAAAAUGUUACAAAGACAAACGUUUUCUCCAAUGUAAUGGAGUAUUCUGCUGAGGAUUUUGUGUAUGUAGUCCCCUAACUACAUAACUAAAGAUGGAUUGAAGAAGGGUAAAAGAAGAACAUACAAUUUCUAAGGAUGGUCACAUUGGGCUAGAAGCUUUUGUUGUUUGCCCAAAAAAAAAUAGUAAAGCUUCCUUUAGGUUAAUGUGAGUAGUUUUAUAAGCAUGACAAGAUUUUUCUAGGCUGGCAUAUAUAUGCUUUAGACAUCCAAGAGGUACAAACUAUGUAUAUCUCUAAAGAAAUAUAUAUCUCCAUGCCUAUAAAACCAUCUCACAUUAACCUCAAAGGAAGUCUUGCUAUCUUUUUUAGUUCCUUAAGGAUAAUGGUACCCAAAUAAUUGGCAAACAACAAAAGCUUUUAAUCUAAUGUUCCUUGCGAAUGUACCUCAGAAUCAUUUUAUAUCGUCAUGCAUGUAUUAGCAACGAAUUAGCAAUAUUCGAAAGAUUUGAUAUCAAAUAACACUAAAUCAAUUCUAACAUCUGAAGGCUUGACAACUAUCUUAUUUGCCACUCAUUUGUGAUGAGUGACAAGAUUGUAAUGAUCCUAACAACCUCACACUCUCGUUAUAUAUCGCAAAAUUGUCACAGCCGUUUUCGAUGCACAUGAUCCGACAACCAUUUUGGUUGUAAUGAUCCUGAAAACCUUCACACUCUCAUUACAUAACGUCGCAAAUUUACUAUACAACCAUUUCUUGACAAACAAAUCGGUCACUAGCUAUUCUUCUGUUUUUUUUAUUUUUCUUGUAAUAUUUAUAUAUAUAACGAGUGUGACUUGGGCUUUGACAAUGUUAGUAUAGCUUUAAAACGGGGGAAAAAAAAAUACUAGAACAUUAAGUUUUGAGGGUGCAAAUAUGUAACAUAUGUGUUGUAGAAAUACUUUUUAAAAUUUCAAUAAUAACCUUGGUUUAGUUUCCAUUGUUUGAAUUGGUAUUCAUAUCUGACUACCGUAGAAUUCAAUUUGUUAGUGCAGAAUCUGAAACAGAAAUUGUGUUGUCUGUAUAUUCUUUUUUUGGGCUCUCAAAUAUUUCGUGUAUUUUUGUGGAAUUUUAUAUAAAGUUGGUGUCUUUUUUAGGACUUUUCGUUGCAUUCAAUUAUGUUGAAUGUGUAAAAGUAGUGGCUUUCCUUGGUCACAUUUAUCAAACGUGUUUUCGCCUUUCUUUAAUUUUCCGUGUUCAAGUGAAUUCUAGCUAACUUUUCGGUUUUACGUUGUAUGAAAAUAAUUGGCUGUCGUCGGUCACAUGAUCACAUAGAGUUUAUUUGAUUCAAAUCCAUUUAAUAUAUGCUGUAUCUUUAAUGCAUACAUAGAGAUAUAUUAUUAUACGUUAUCUUUUAAUAGGACAUUAUAUUUUGUUUAUAUGAAAGAAAAGAAUGUACUGUAUAUGCAGUUAUAUUAUGCUGGUUUAUGUCAAAGAUAGAAGUUAACGCAAAUUAAUUUCUUUAUUUCAAUUGUGUUUUGCGUUACGAUCUGUUUUUUUUUUUUUUGGACAAAUGACUUAAGAUUUUAUUACUUCAUUUGAUAUUAAUAAAUUAGUAUGGGUGAUGCAAACGACUUGAAGGCUAGGGUUGGUACCACGGCUGCUAAAGUCUACUUUUGGUUGGAUCUGUGGUCGGAAGAUCUUGACGUGAUCACUUCUAUAAUUGAGGAUUGUGUGUUGCUGCUACUCUCCUCUCACGAUAACUCACGUGGCCUUUUUCUUGUUUUUCUUUCUUCAUAUUUUCACAAAACAAAAUAGUCAGAGAUCUUGAGAGAUUUUUUCAGAAGCAUAUUGGGCCCAAAUGUGGACAAUUUCAUGUGGUUGAAUUGUUAAAUUUCAGAUAGAUUAGACAACUAAUCUUGUUGACGUGCAUGCGGUGAGGAUAUUAAGUCGCUAUACGUCAUAUACGUGUAUACUUAAAAUCUCGUUUGAUAUUUCUUUCUUUUGUUUUUAUCUUCAACGACAAUUAUUGCCUCAGGCAUGUCAGCAGAAAACGACACCGUUCAUAUUCGAUCUCGUUAUUAAUAUGUUUUUGAAGCAAAAUAUCAUUAUUAGCUAUGGAGUUUCUGCAGUAGCCUAACCGGAAGUCUCAAAAAGAUAACGUUUAUGCCGGUUAUAAUUAAAUCCGAUAAGGCGAUAAAUAAGUGAACCCGUAAAGUCUAAAAUUUUCACAUAUAUAUGAACAAAGAAAUAGUCUAUAGAUCUCCAUGCAUUCUUGUACAAACAUAUUUAAUUUUUUAUUUUAUUUUCUUUAUAUAAGAGUUGGUGUAUGAAACUUUACAUUUUGUAAAUACUAACAUUACAUCAUAAUGUCAGAACCAAUAAUUCUAGUGGAAUGAUAUAAUCUCCACUUUAAAUUCUUAUGUCUUUAUCCAAAGAGAUCAUGAGGAACUUGAGCAAAGGAAGAGGGCACCGUUUAGUAGUAUAGGUGAAUAACGUGGCGGACACGAGGCUGGUCUCAUUUUCAAAUAAAGAGAGAUAGAGAGAAAAUGGAAGGAAAAAAAAGCUAUUGGCGAUGUUGAUAUUUGUUCGUCUUUUAGUGGAGACGACCAAGAGAUUUUGAAAGGUCGUCGAGGAGUUAGUUUAUUAUCUUACAAUUAUUAUGGAUUUCUUCUGACUAAAGUUUUAGUGCAAUAGUUUUCUGAGUUAUUAUAUAUUUUUCGAAAUUCAUCCAAAGGCUAAAACUUUGUAAGGUAUUCUGAGUCUAUUACGCUAGAAAUAGACACGCUUACGUUUUUAAGUCAUUUUAAUCUGAUAUAUAUAUAUAUAUAUAUAUACUACAAUUUUAUAACCAAUUAUCUUUGUUUCAGACAAUUUAUAUAAAUUCAUAUAAACUAUCAGAAAUAAAGAGACAAUUGGCUGUAAAAUUGUAUUAUUUUGCAUCUAUGAAAUUUUUAUUUCUCUUUAUCAAAAUUGAAGACGAGUUGAAAUUCUAUUUCUUUUUUAAAAAAAUUUAUAUAUGGGAGUGUCAAAAAAUAAUUUUCCUUUGUAAGAGAAUAUUCGUAUUUGGACGAGUCUUGAUUUGUGUUUUCCGUUAGCGUUCCACAUUAGUUGUAAAGAGCGAGAAAGAUUUAAGUGAUAAUUAAAAAGACAAGAUAUGCAUUUUGAAUAUACUCUAGAUAUUAAUCUUAAGCAUUUUUCAUAUUGGUUAUAUUUUAUGGUCGAAUUUUGACAUCCGAAAAAUACAUCCCUUAUUCUUCAAUUUAUAUUGAAUACUUAAGUUUUUGAUAGUAAAUAUGUAUAAAUAAAUUUUAAACAAUUGUCAAAAAGACAUUAUAACUUAUACGGUUAUAGUUGUUAAAAAAAAAACUUAUACGGUUAUACCAAUAGAUAAACUGACAUUUUAGAUUUGAGUUUUUUUUUUUUUUACUUUCCAUGUAGAUAGCGUGGAAUAAUACCUCAUUUAUAUGUAUCGUUAGUUGAAAUAAUUGACAAAAGGAAACUAUUCGUUUGCUGUUCUAGAUAAAAGCCUUUAAUUGAGAAAAAGAAAAUGCCUCCAGCUUUGACCCGUUUUGCCUAUAAAAGGAUUCUCUAAGAUAUGGACUUUCCUCAUCUUCUCGGGUAAACAGAAUCAACUAGUUUUGUUUUUCCUCUUUCAAAAAUGCAUUUCUCUUCGUCUUCAACAUCGUCCACUUGGACAAUCUUAAUCACAUUGGGAUGUCUUAUGCUUCAUGCAUCUUUGUCCGCUGCUCAACUCACCCCUACCUUCUACGAUAGGUCAUGUCCUAAUGUCACUAACAUCGUACGAGAAACCAUUGUAAAUGAGUUAAGGUCGGACCCUCGUAUCGCUGCGAGCAUCCUUCGUCUUCACUUCCACGACUGCUUUGUUAAUGUAAGAUAUUACUUUUUAUAUAUCUAUAGCGUUGCGGAUUACUGAGGGCCAUCUUUUAAAUAUUAGUAAAGCAGUGUAAAAAGUAGGAAACAAAAGUGAUAACAAGUGUAUUUUGUCAUCAGCAGAUUCAGCACACGCAAUUGUCUUAGUUAAUACUCUUUUUGCUCAAAGACUAAAUUUCACGUAGUUAGAUGUUACUAGUUGUUAACUGCUUUUCUUUUUCUAUAUUGAAAAUUAAUAUUACUCAUCGACAGUGAUGUUACUGGUUAGUUGUUAAUUUCUUACACAAUGAUGAUGCCAAAACAUUUAUGCAAUCGGAUUCACGAAAAUAAAGUAUCCGUGUUACAGUCUAAGGAAUUGCAUGGUGCCGUACCAAACACGAUAGAAAUUUAAGAUCCAUCAAUCAUUUUUCUUUUUUGGUUGAGGGAUAUAUAUUUAAAAAAUAAUUCUAAAAUCAUGAUUAUUAAUUUUUAUAAUUCAAUUAAAAUUUUGAUGAAUUUAAAUAUUUUAAUGUGAUUAUAUAUAAGUAUUUCGGUAUACAAAUAUUAUUUCGGUAUGGUUUAUUUUCUAUUGAGUUAAAAUUGGUUAAAGGAGUUUCUCUAUCACUUUGUUUUCAUUAUAAUUUAGAUAUUUACAGAUAUACCUUCACUGAUUACUUGCUUCAGAGGAACAAAUGGUUUUAGUGAAUGGCAAAAAAGUUUUUAAUACAUUCAUGACUAAUGAUUUGUUAAAUAAAUUUUUGGACUUUGAAAGGGUUGUGACGCAUCCAUCUUGUUAGACAACACGACAUCAUUUCGAACAGAGAAAGAUGCGUUUGGAAACGCAAAUUCGGCUCGGGGAUUUCCAGUGAUUGAUAGAAUGAAAGCUGCGGUGGAGAGGGCAUGCCCAAGAACCGUUUCAUGCGCAGAUAUGCUCACCAUUGCAGCUCAACAAUCUGUCACUUUGGUAUGCUCCAUUGUCCCAUAUUCAUUUACAAACACUGUUUUCAAUAUGAAAAGUAUUCAAUAUUAAUUGAAAAAAGCGCGUGGUCCCGUUAAGAAAAUUUGACAAAAUUAGGUCUCAUAUCACUAGCUUUGAUAUCAUAUUAACCCAAAAGAAUAAUAUUCAACUUUUUUCUCAAGAAAUAGUGGAUAUAUAAAAAUUUACUUUGUGUAUAUAUAUCUAAUCAAUGAAUUUAUAUUACAUGACUCUCUUUUUCUCUUUACAUGUUAAAAAUAAUCUCAAGAAAAUAUUAUUGUAAUAUAAUGGUUAUUAUACUAUAGGCAGGAGGUCCUUCUUGGAGGGUUCCUUUGGGAAGGAGAGACAGUUUACAAGCAUUCCUGGAACUCGCUAAUGCAAAUCUUCCAGCUCCAUUCUUUACACUUCCACAACUUAAAGCCAGCUUCAGAAAUGUUGGUCUCGAUCGUCCUUCUGAUCUCGUUGCUCUCUCCGGUAAUUAACAAAAGAAAAUUAAACACCAUUGAUACAAUAUCAAUUAGCGAUAGUUUAUUACUAAUCUAAUUAUGGUAUUUGUUUUGUUUAGGUGGUCACACAUUUGGUAAAAAUCAAUGUCAGUUUAUUCUUGACAGAUUAUACAAUUUCAGCAACACAGGUUUACCCGACCCUACACUCAACACUACUUACCUCCAAACUCUUCGUGGACUAUGCCCCCUUAAUGGCAAUCGAAGUGCCUUGGUAGAUUUUGAUCUACGUACGCCUACGGUUUUCGACAACAAAUACUACGUGAAUCUCAAAGAGCGAAAAGGUCUUAUCCAGAGCGACCAAGAGUUGUUCUCUAGCCCCAAUGCCACUGACACAAUCCCCUUGGUGAGAGCAUAUGCUGAUGGCACACAAACAUUCUUCAAUGCAUUUGUGGAGGCAAUGAAUAGGAUGGGAAACAUUACACCAACUACAGGAACUCAAGGACAAAUCAGAUUGAACUGUAGAGUUGUGAACUCCAACUCUCUGCUCCAUGAUGUGGUGGAUAUCGUUGACUUUGUUAGCUCUAUGUGAGAAUUGUUUACCCAAUAUGUGGCUACAAGAAU